rnacentral:misc_RNA from 1 species
GAUGAAGAACGUAGCGAAAUGCGAUAAGUAGUGUGAAUUGCAGAAUUCAGUGAAUCAUCGAAUCUUUGAACGCACAUUGCGGCCAUAGGUAUUCCUUUGGCCAUGCCUGUUCGAGCGUCAUUUACACCCUCAAGCCUAGCUUGGUGUUGGGCGUCUGUCCCGCCGUUUUCGCGCGCGGACUCGCCUCAAAGUCAUUGGCGGUGGUCGUGCCGGCCCCCUCGCGCAGCACAUUUGCGCUUCUCGGAGGCCCGGCGGAUCCGCGCUCCAGCAAGACCUUUCACGACUUGACCUCGGAUCAGGUAGGGAUACCCGCUGAACUUAAGCAUAUCAAUAAGCGGAGGA